rnacentral:RNase_P_RNA from 1 species
CAGAGCGGGUGAUCGCGGUAUAUGCCAAUUUGGCAUAUAAUGAGGAAAGUCCGGGCUACACAGGACAGAAUGCCAGAUAACAUCUGGUAGAGGCAACUCUCAGGCAAGUGCAACAGAAAGCAAACCGCCUAUUUACAUAGGUAAGGGUGAAACGGUGAGGUAAGAGCUCACCAGCAGUAUAGUAAUAUGCUGGCUAUGUAAACCCCAUUCGUAGCAAGACCUAACAGAAACGGAGUUUAUCUCCAUCGGCUGUCCGUCGAAUGUUUCGGGUAUGGUCGCUAAAGCCGAGAAGCGAUUUUCGGAUUAGAUAAAUGAUCACCAUCUAAUUUUCAAAAUUAGAUACAGAACCCGGCUUAUAGCUCUGC